GUGGGGAAUCUUCCGCAAUGGACGAAAGUCUGACGGAGCAACGCCGCGUGAGUGAUGAAGGUCUUCGGAUUGUAAAGCUCUGUUAAUCGGGACGAAAGAGCCUAGUGUGAAUAAUGCUAGGAAGUGACGGUACCGGAAUAGAAAGCCACGGCUAACUACGUGCCAGCAGCCGCGGUAAUACGUAGGUGGCAAGAGUUGUCCGGAAUUAUUGGGCGUAAAGCGCGCGCAGGCGGAUCUGCCAGUCUGUCUUAAAAGUUCGGGGCUUAACCCCGUGAUGGGAUGUAAACUACAGAGCUAGAGUAUCGGAGAGGAAAGUGGAAUUCCUAGUGUAGCGGUGAAAUGCGUAGAUAUUAGGAAGAACACCAGUGGCGAAGGCGACUUUCUGGACGAAAACUGACGCUGAGGCGCGAAAGCCAGGGGAGCGAACGGGAUUAGAUACCCGGGUAGUCC
rnacentral:rRNA from 1 species